rnacentral:rRNA from 1 species
UGGGGAAUAUUGCACAAUGGGCGCAAGCCUGAUGCAGCCAUGCCGCGUGUAUGAAGAAGGCCUUCGGGUUGUAAAGUACUUUCAGCGGGGAGGAAGGGAGUAAAGUUAAUACCUUUGCUCAUUGACGUUACCCGCAGAAGAAGCACCGGCUAACUCCGUGCCAGCAGCCGCGGUAAUACGGAGGGUGCAAGCGUUAAUCGGAAUUACUGGGCGUAAAGCGCACGCAGGCGGUUUGUUAAGUCAGAUGUGAAAUCCCCGGGCUUAACCCGGGAAUUGCAUCUGAUACUGGUCAGCUAGAGUCUUGUAGAGGGGGGUAGAAAUCCAUGUGUAGCAGUGAAAUGCGUAGAGAUGUGGAGGAAUACCGGUGGCGAAGGCGGCCCCCUGGACAAAGACGGACGAUCAGGUGCGAAAGCGUGGGGAGCAAACAGG